CCUACGGGAGGCAGCAGUGGGGAAUAUUGGACAAUGGGCGAAAGCCUGAUCCAGCAAUGCCGCGUGAGUGAUGAAGGCCUUAGGGUUGUAAAGCUCUUUUACCAGGGAUGAUAAUGACAGUACCUGGAGAAUAAGCUCCGGCUAACUCCGUGCCAGCAGCCGCGGUAAUACGGAGGGAGCUAGCGUUGUUCGGAAUUACUGGGCGUAAAGAGUACGUAGGCGGUUAUUCAAGUCAGAGGUGAAAGCCCGGGGCUCAACCCCGGAACUGCCUUUGAAACUAGAUAGCUAGAAUCUUGGAGAGGUCAGUGGAAUUCCGAGUGUAGAGGUGAAAUUCGUAGAUAUUCGGAAGAACACCAGUGGCGAAGGCGACUGACUGGACAAGUAUUGACGCUGAGGUACGAAAGCGUGGGGAGCAAACAGGAUUAGAUACCCUGGUAGUCCACGCCGUAAACGAUGAUAACUAGUUGUUCGGGCACUUGGUGCCUGAGUGACGCAGCUAACGCAUUAAGUUAUCCGCCUGGGGAGUACGGUCGCAAGNUUAAAACUCAAAUGAAUUGACGGCUGAGAGNGCGAGACGACGACGAGGAGAG
rnacentral:rRNA from 1 species